UACUGCUGUAGUCUGAGCUGGAGAUAAUUCUUGCCUGAAGUCAUCUGGAUGGAGAAAACACGUUUGCACCAGGUCAAUGCAGAGUUCCAGCAGAUCACCACAGUAAAUGUUGAGGCCAAAUUCAUUUCAACUGCUGUCCAUCUUCCAAGCUAAGAAAAGUGCUGCUGGAGCCUGACACCGUGCAAGAACUGAUGCUGUUCUCCAAAGUGGAGUUGCUGUUGAGAAAACCAGAGAAUUCUUCAUCCGAUGUCCCAUUGAUCACCCUGGGAAAGAUGAUAAUGCUUUAAUCAAGGAGUUAAAGAAUGUUGAUGGGUCUGCCAUUAAAGUGGAAGAAGAGUUGGCAGCUGAAGUGAUGGUGAUACACCGGCUCCAGGAUGAGAGUGGACAAUCAGCGAUGUUGGGAUCAUCAUUGAAGGUUCAGCUGUUCUUGGUCAUCUUGGGGAUCUCAGCAGAGCUUGUUUCUACCUGCUAGGACUGACUUAUGCCUUGGAUCUGAAGUACCCAAAAACUCUGAAAUACAUUUUUGAAGUAUUUCAAAAGAUGCUUGUGGAAGUGGAUGCAGGAAACCUUUCAACAAAGGUGGUAAGACUAAAAACAGCUUGUUCCUGUAUUUGUGGGGAAGCUGGUCAGAUGAGUAUAGCUGUGACUUAUUCAUAACUGAACAGUAUGUAACUGUUCACUGUUA
rnacentral:lncRNA from 1 species